rnacentral:rRNA from 1 species
AGCAGGCGCGCAAAUUACCCAAUCCCGACANGGGGAGGUAGUGACAAUAAAUAACAACACAGGGCUCUUUUGGGUCUUGUUAUUGGAAUGAGUACGAUUUAAAUCUCCUAACGAGGAACAAUUGGAGGGCAAGUCUGGUGCCAGCAGCCGCGGUAAUUCCAGCUCCAAUAGCGUAUAUUAAAGUUGUUGCAGUUAAAAAGCUCGUAGUUGAAUUUCAGGCCUGGCUGGACGGUCCGCCCUUCGGGUGAGUACUGUCUGUGGUCGGGUCCUACCUUCUGGCGAAGCGUCAUGGCCUUAACCGGCCGUGGCGGGGAACCAGGACUUUUACUGUGAAAAAAUUAGAGUGUUCAAAGCAGGCAAUCNNUUGGAUACAUUAGCAUGGAAUAAUGGAAUAGGACAAUGGUUCUAUUUGUUGGUUUCUAGGACCGUUGUAAUGAUUAAUAGGGAUAGUUGGGGG